rnacentral:rRNA from 1 species
GGUUAAGUGAAUAAGGGCGCACGGUGGAUGCCUUGGCACUAGGAGCCGAUGAAGGACGGGACUAACACCGAUAUGCUUUGGGGAGCUGUAAGUAAGCUAUGAUCCAGAGAUUUCCGAAUGGGGGAACCCAAUAUCUUUUAUAGGAUAUUACUUUUCAGUGAAUACAUAGCUGAUUAGAGGUAGACGCAGAGAACUGAAACAUCUUAGUACCUGCAGGAAGAGAAAGAAAAUUCGAUUCCCUGAGUAGCGGCGAGCGAAACGGGAAGAGCCCAAACCAACAAGCUUGCUUGUUGGGGUUGUAGGACUCCGAUAUGGUAGUCUGUUAGUAUAGUUGAAGGAUUUGGAAAAUUCCGCUAAAGAGGGUGAAAGCCCCGUAGACGAAAUGCUGACAACACCUAGGAGGAUCCUGAGUACGGCGGAACACGAGAAAUUCCGUCGGAAUCCGCGGGGACCAUCCCGCAAGGCUAAAUACUCCCUAGUGACCGAUAGUGAACCAGUACCGUGAGGGAAAGGUGAAAAGCACCCCGGAAGGGGAGUGAAAUAGAUCCUGAAACCGUGUGCCUACAACAAGUCAAAGCUCGUUAAUGAGUGAUGGCGUGCCUUUUGUAGAAUGAACCGGCGAGUUACGAUUGCAUGCGAGGUUAAGUCGAAGAGACGGAGCCGUAGCGAAAGCGAGUCUGAAUAGGGCGAAUGAGUAUGUAGUCGUAGACCCGAAACCAUGUGAUCUACCCAUGUCCAGGUUGAAGGUGCGGUAAAACGCACUGGAGGACCGAACCCACGUACGUUGAAAAGUGCGGGGAUGAGGUGUGGGUAGCGGAGAAAUUCCAAACGAACUUGGAGAUAGCUGGUUCUCUCCGAAAUAGCUUUAGGGCUAGCCUCGGAAUUGAGAAUGAUGGAGGUAGAGCACUGUUUGGACUAGGGGCCCAUCUCGGGUUACCGAAUUCAGAUAAACUCCGAAUGCCAUUCAUUUAUAUCCGGGAGUCAGACUGCGAGUGAUAAGAUCCGUAGUCGAAAGGGAAACAGCCCAGACCACCAGCUAAGGUCCCAAAAUAUAUGUUAAGUGGAAAAGGAUGUGGGGUUGCACAGACAACUAGGAUGUUGGCUUAGAAGCAGCCACCAUUUAAAGAGUGCGUAAUAGCUCACUAGUCGAGUGACCCUGCGCCGAAAAUGUACCGGGGCUAAACAUAUUACCGAAGCUGUGGACUACACCAUUAGGUGUAGUGGUAGGAGAGCGUUCUAAGGGCGUUGAAGGUCGAUCGUGAGGACGGCUGGAGCGCUUAGAAGUGAGAAUGCCGGUAUGAGUAGCGAAAGACAGGUGAGAAUCCUGUCCACCGUAUGACUAAGGUUUCCUGGGGAAGGCUCGUCCGCCCAGGGUUAGUCGGGACCUAAGCCGAGGCCGAUAGGCGUAGGCGAUGGACAACAGGUUGAUAUUCCUGUACCAGUUGUUUUUGUUUGAGCAAUGGAGGGACGCAGUAGGCUAAGGAAUGCAUGCGAUUGGAAGUGCAUGUCCAAGCAAUGAGUCUUGAGUAGAGUUAAAUGCUUUACUCUUUAAGGACAAGUUGUGACGGGGAGCGAAAUAAUAGUAGCGAAGUUCCUGAUGUCACACUGCCAAGAAAAGCUUCUAGUGAGAAAACAACUGCCCGUACCGUAAACCGACACAGGUAGUCGAGGAGAGUAUCCUAAGGUGAGCGAGCGAACUCUCGUUAAGGAACUCGGCAAAAUGACCCCGUAACUUCGGGAGAAGGGGUGCUGACUUCGGUCAGCCGCAGUGAAUAGGCCCAAGCGACUGUUUAUCAAAAACACAGGUCUCUGCAAAAUCGUAAGAUGAAGUAUAGGGGCUGACGCCUGCCCGGUGCUGGAAGGUUAAGAGGAUGGGUUAGCUUCGGCGAAGCUCAGAAUUGAAGCCCCAGUAAACGGCGGCCGUAACUAUAACGGUCCUAAGGUAGCGAAAUUCCUUGUCGGGUAAGUUCCGACCCGCACGAAAGGCGUAACGAUUUGGGCACUGUCUCAACGAGAGACUCGGUGAAAUUUUAGUACCUGUGAAGAUGCAGGUUACCCGCGACAGGACGGAAAGACCCCAUGGAGCUUUACUGUAGUUUGAUAUUGAGUGUUUGUACCACAUGUACAGGAUAGGUAGGAGCCGAUGAGACCGGAACGCUAGUUUCGGAGGAGGCGCUGGUGGGAUACUACCCUUGUGUUAUGAA